CCCGCGUGCAGGAAGACGGCUACGGGUUGUAAACUGCUUUUCUGAAACAAGAAUAAUUUCGAGUUUCUCGAAAGAUGACGGUACUUCAGGAAUAAGCAUCGGCUAACUCCGUGCCAGCAGCCGCGGUAAUACGGAGGAUGCAAGCGAAAUCCGGAUUUAUUGGGUUUAAAGGGUGCGUAGGCGGGYUAAUAAGUCAGUGGUGAAAUCUUCCGGCUCAACCGGGAACCUGCCAUYVMCACUGUUAGUCUUGAGUUCGGCUGAGGUAGGCGGAAUGUGUAAUGUAGCGGUGAAAUGCUUAGAUAUUACACAGAACACCAAUUGCGUAGGCAGCUUACUAGACCGACACUGACGCUGAGGCACGAAAGCGUGGGGAGCGAACAGGAUUAGAUACCCUGGUAGUCCACGCCGUAAACUAUGAUUACUCGUUGUUG
rnacentral:rRNA from 1 species